rnacentral:miRNA from 1 species
UUAGUUGUCUGCACUGGAGAGU